rnacentral:rRNA from 1 species
CGUAGGUGGCAAGCGUUGUCCGGAAUUAUUGGGCGUAAAGCGCGCGCAGGCGGUUCCUUAAGUCUGAUGUGAAAGCCCCCGGCUCGAACCGGGGAAGGUCAUUGGAAACUGGGGAACUUGAGUGCAGAAGAGAAGAGCGGAAUUCCACGUGUAGCGGUGAAAUGCGUAGAGAUGUGGAGGAACACCAGUGGCGAAGGCGGCUCUUUGGUCUGUAACUGACGCUGAGGCGCGAAAGCGUGGGGAGCAAACAGGAUUAGAUACCCUGGUAGUCCACGCCGUAAACGAUGAGUGCUAAGUGUUAGAGGGUUUCCGCCCUUUAGUGCUGCAGCUAACGCAUUAAGCACUCCGCCUGGGGAGUACGGCCGCAAGGCUG